UGACAUUUCCUUUGUAAUUCCAGGCAUGAUAGUGAAAUAAAGAUACAGGAUGAUUAUUACAAGAACAGUUACCAUCCUACAUACUGCAGUGCAUUGGAAGUAUCAUUUCUAUUCUCUUGUUUGGUUUGCUUUACUUUUCUGGGUCAUCUAGGGAGUAUAUUUGUUUUCUGAACUACUCAUAUCAUUGUAAUAAAUUUACAGUAAGAAUUACAUGUGUCUUAUAACAAGUUUUAAAUUCCCAUCAUUCCAACAUUUUUACAGUGUAUACCAUUGAGCAUUUGGCCUGUAAGUUGUGGUAGAGGAAUGAAAAAUGUAUCUAUUGUAGUGCUAAAAUUCCCAUCAAUAACACUUUUACAGGACAAUGAAGAAUGGCCAACAAGUAGUUUUUCAUCUUCCCAGCUGGUUGUGCUCUGUUUUGUUUAAGUGACUUUCAUUUUACUGCAUUAUUCAUAUUUCUGAAUAAGAAUUUAACUGAUAUUUCUUCUAUUAUAACUAUUUUGAAAAUCCAUUUCUCAAAUAUUUUGCAAUUGUAGACAACCAUUGAACAAUUGUCUUACACACCAUAUUUUCAAAAUGAGAACUAGAAUAUCUAUUACAUUGUGAUCAUUUUGAAGUCUUUCUCUUUAACACCAAAUACAUUUUACAGUACAACAGAGUACGGCCAAUGAAUGUGGUUUCAUCUUCUCUGCUGGCCAUUCAUGGUUUGGUUUACUAGACUUUCUAGGUCUUAGCAACAAAAAACAGUCAACAUACAUGAUUCCAUCUUCCCAGCUGGCUGUGCUUUGUUAGGUUUAGUUGACCUAAAGUGUCUGGUUCUGGUUGUGCUUUGUUCUCGUCACUUGACAGUCUGGGUUUCCCUGUGAGUAUAAUACAUAUUUGUUUUACUAGAUUAUUCUUACAACUAAGUAUUUUAAUAUCCUAUUUUCGGAUGGACACUAUUUCCAUACCCAGGAUCCUAUACCUGCCCACCUUGACUGACGCUGUAAGGUGUUUUACAGAAGAUUGAAUAAUAUGAAAAUAUAAAAAAGGACACAAAUAACACUGUUACUCAUUAUUGUUGCUAAUUUUCACAGUUUUAGAUUACCAUGAGUGAUGAUAUGGAGUCUGAUCAAGGAAAAUAGUCUAUUACCAUCAGAGAUACAGCAUAACAAAUAACAAAUAAAUAUAAACAUUGGAAAGUGCUAAGCACUUGUAGAGCAAUUCAUGUGUAAAAACAAUAUAACCUAACCUACAAUGUGCAUGGCAGGUAUGUAUAUGCCAUCCUAAGCAGCAGUAGGUUAAAGAUGAUAUAAAAAAGAAAACCAAGUUUUGUGAUGCC